rnacentral:rRNA from 1 species
CCUACGGGGGGCUGCAGUGGGGAAUAUUGGACAAUGGGGGCAACCCUGAUCCAGCCAUGCCGCGUGUGUGAAGAAGGCCCUCGGGUUGUAAAGCACUUUCAGUGAGGAAGAACGCCUGGUGGUUAAUACCCAUCAGGAAAGACAUCACUCACAGAAGAAUCACCGGCUAACUCCGUGCCAGCAGCCGCGGUAAUACGGAGGGUGCGAGCGUUAAUCGGAAUUACUGGGCGUAAAGCGCGCGUAGGUGGCUUGAUAAGCCGGUUGUGAAAGCCCCGGGCUCAACCUGGGAACGGCAUCCGGAACUGUCAAGCUAGAGUGCAGGAGAGGAAGGUAGAAUUCCCGGUGUAGCGGUGAAAUGCGUAGAGAUCGGGAGGAAUACCAGUGGCGAAGGCGGCCUUCUGGACUGACACUGACACUGAGGUGCGAAAGCGUGGGUAGCAAACAGGAUUAGAUACCCCAGUAGUC